GGGCUUGUAGCUCAGCUGGUUAGAGCGCGUCACUGAUAAUGACGAGGUCGCAGGUUCCGGUCGCCAAGCCCACCA
rnacentral:tRNA from 1 species